rnacentral:rRNA from 1 species
AAUGAACGCUGGCGGCGUGCCUAACACAUGCAAGUCGCGCGCGAAAAGGGGGCAACUCCUGAGUAGAGCGGCGAACGGGUGAGUAACACGUGGGCAACCUGCCUGGGUGUGGGGGAUAACCUGGGGAAACUCGGGCUAAUACCGCAUACGUUCCCGGAGCUUCGGCUCUGUGAGGAAAGCUGGCCUCUGCUUGCAAGCUAGCGCAUCCAGAGGGGCCCGCGCCUGAUUAGCUAGUUGGUGGGGUAACGGCCCACCAAGGCGACGAUCAGUAGCCGGCCUGAGAGGGCGAUCGGCCACACUGGAACUGAGACACGGUCCAGACUCCUACGGGAGGCAGCAGUGAGGAAUCUUGCGCAAUGGGGGAAACCCUGACGCAGCAACGCCGCGUGGAGGAUGAAGGUCUUCGGAUUGUAAACUCCUGUCAGAUGGGACGAACGCUUGCGGGCUAAUCACCGCAAGCUUGACGGUACCAUCAGAGGAAGCCACGGCUAACUCUGUGCCAGCCGCCGCAGUAA